UGGUCACAGAAGUUGUAUAUUAAAUUUAAAAACAAGUCCCGUAAUGAUUAUAAAAAGUUGCAAAUAAUUAGUGGUUACUUAACGUCUAAAAUAAAUGUGCUAAGGCGUGCGCUUCACGGAAACCGGAAUUAAUUGUUAAACUAAUACAUUUGUACAUAGAUAAUUUUUACGUUCAUGUUAUUGCUUAAUAAGUUAUGUUACUAUCCUAUAAUAUGCAGCUGUAUUGUAUUGCUCUUCCAGCCAACUCACUUACACUCACCUUGAGGACAUCCUUGUAGCGCUCAAUACUGGUACUAUAAAUCUGCAAGCGGGUCGACAGCUUAUCGAAUUUUUACAUCAGGAUCCUGCACAAAAUGUCCAAUCGCUUAUAUACGACCGACAACUAGAACAAAUAACUGAUGAAAAGACUAUCGAACAACUUUGUCUACAGGCGAUUGAGCGUAACGAACAGGCAGUAAAACAAUACAAAAGCGGCAAAAAGAAAGCACUGUUUGCUAUUGUAGGCGAAGUGUCCAAGUUGUCCAAACAGAGGGCUAACAUGAAAGUUGUAGUCGCUUACCUGGAGAAAAUAUUAAAUUCGCAAUAAAAAUGAAACAAAGGAAAAAUA